AUGGACCCAACAGUAAGUGACACAGAGACAAUGGAAAGACCUCGCCGCAGGACAAAUCUUCCGCCUCACCUGGAUGAUUAUGAGGUUGGCUACCAGCCCGCAGAGGACCAUCCUCCUAAAGUUUCUACCCCCUGUCCCAGUCAACGUAGAAGCAGCUCGAGGAAAACGUCCCACAGCAGUACCAGCUCUCAUUCCAGGACCAGUAGGCGUUCCAUUACCUCCACUGGCGUUUAUCUUCCACCAGAACUCUCUAAUGUCCAGACUGCUGUUUUGGAGGAGAAGAUUAAGCAGAGACAGUUUGACAGUCUCCGGCAGCAGGUACAGGAGGACUCACUCGCUGACAUGGAAUAUCAGCGGCUGCAGACACAAGCAAAGGAAGCUCAGCGCAUUCAGGAAGAGGCUCUCGCAGCUAAGGAGGCUUUGUCCAAGCAUCUAGAGAGACAGCGCAAGCUGCAACAAGCAGAGACCGAACUCGAGGUAGCAAAGCUUGUAUCUACCAUGCUUAUUAAAGACUCUUGUUCAGCAACUCCUGUGCCUCCAGGCUCACCAGCCAGCCCUUUGCCUCCACCUCAUCCCAAUCAGAGUAGUCCAGCCAUGAGUCCACAGUCUCACUUGUUGUCUCAGCAGCCCUUUACUCAGUCACCAGCCGUGACAUCAUCUGUACAGCCUUCCUCAGGUGAUCAGAUAAGGCUGGAAGACACAUCACAGCUGUCACUCAGGCCACAGGCGCUGACAUUACCUACCACUGAAUCCGUGAGUGUUUCUUUUCCUAAAGCACUCCACUUGCCACAAGCAGUUUCGUCACCAGUCUCUACAGUAUCUCAGGCUGCCGCUAUAACUGCGCCAUUACACACAGUGAUGUCAGCAUCAAAUGUGGUACCUCAGCCCUCCUCAUUAGCCACAGUUAAGUCCACUGCUGCGCAAUCCAUGAAUAUGAGCAUGCCGUCUGUGCCACAGCUGUCUACAAGUCCAUAUGUGAUACAUCAAUCAUUGAACCCUCCAGUGAGCACACAUGCAUAUAAUCUGCAACCUCCAGUUACUAGCCAGCAGGCAUCAGCUAUGCCACCUAAUGCUAGCUUUGCUCAGCCACCCUCAUUCCUGCACCUUCCCCACACGCAUUCUGCAUACCCUGGUACAGAGCUACUAUAUGCCUCAGCUUAUGGCAUCCCACAACCUAAGCUACCAGUGUUUGAAAGUGGUAAUGAGAGUGACUUUGCACUGUUAAAAUUGGCUUUGGACAAUUUGUUAAGUAAUCACAGCUAUCUCAGUGAGCAGUACAAAUACCACGUCCUGUUAAGCCAUUUGAAACUUCCCAGUGCUCAGCAGCUAGCUAAAGCCUACAUGUAUCAUUCGCAUCCAUACUCAGCUGCGCUGCAGGCACUUCAGGAUAAGUAUGGGCAGCCAAGACAACUUGUGCAGUCAGAGCUGGGUGCCAUUAUGAACAGUCCACCACUUAGACUGGGCGAUGCUAAUGCCUUUGACUCCUUUGCCUUGUCAGUGCAAUCAUUGGUAGGCAUGUUGAGGACUCUUGAAGGUCAGAAUGGUUUCGAGCUCAUGUGUGGCUCUCAUGUGGAUCGUCUGCUCAGCAAGUUGCCACCUGCCUAUCGUGAUAGCUUUGUUGAAUACUGUCUGAGUAAGGGUAUUCUCCAGACAGGCACAGACAAAACUUAUACACUCCCCGAUCUGGCUUCGUGGUUAGAGAUUAAGUCCCAGGCGAAACGCAUUUCCAACCGAGCUGCAGCCUUGUUUCAGAGCGACUCACCCAAGUCCUAUGGUAAACCUACAACAUCUACUCGUCCAAAGGAGCGAUUUACACCGGUUCUGUUGACCAGUGAGAGGGGCACGAAAGGUCCUGAUACUGCAGCACAGAAAUCUAGCUCAAAGCCGAAGCCCAGGCCAUAUUGUCCUCAUUGUGAUAGCAGGGAUCAUUACCUCAAUGCCUGUGACCAGUUUAAGAAACUAACUACAGCUCAAAUUAUCACUUGGAUUAAAGAGGGAAAACGUUGCUGGAGGUGUGGCCGAACUCAUGCAGUGGAGGUCUGCAACCUCAAGCGUACAUGUGGUGUUUGUAAAGAGUUACAUCUUACAGUUCUGCAUGAUUCUGUUGAUGAUACUUCCAGAGCUGUACUCAUGGUCAGUUUGCCACCGACCAGGAUUUACCUUGAUCGUCCUAACCAUUCACCCAAGGUCAUGCUGAAAGUGGUUAAAGUCCUUCUACACAAUGGUCAGCAAACCAUGGAAACUCACGCAGUUCUUGAUGACGGGUCAGAGAGAACAUUAGUGCUUCAGCCAGUAGUGCAGCAGCUUAAAUUAUCUGGUACCCCUGAAUUGCUCCCCUUGCAGACAAUUCACCAGUGUCACACUGAACUUGCAGGGUCAUCUGUAUCUUUUGAGGUGUCUUCAUUAUCCAAGCCUAAGAGGAAGUUUGCUAUACACAAUGCAUUCACUGCUAUGGGUCUGUGUCUAGCAGAACACAACUACCCAGUGGCUGCCCUCCAGAAGGCCUAUCGACAUCUGCAGGACCUGCCACUGCCUCCUAUGGACAGAGUGAAACCACUGCUUCUUAUUGGGUCUGACAUGCCGCAUCUCCUGACACCUGUUCAGCCCAUAUGCAAAGGCCCAGUAGGGGGACCCAUUGCUGUUCAUACACAACUUGGAUGGUCUCUCCAAGGCCCGAUGAGUCCCAUGCAGCCUUCAAGGGGAAAUCAGCAGUGCCUCCACAUUAUGACAGUUCCAACCCGUGAUGACCUGAUUCAUCAUGUGGAAAGACUCUGGCAAGUUGACACCCUCCCAUACAAUACUAAGAUGAUUACCAGGUCCAAACAGGACAAAGAGGCUUACACCUUGCUACAAAAUGCCACUAUCAGAGUGACGGUGGACCAUGUACAACGAUAUGCUACCCCAUUGCUGAGAAAAGCCCCUCUGAGCUUACUCCAUGCAGACAAAACGGCGGUUCUCCCCAGUUUACGCCGCAUUGAGCGCAGACUGUCACGGGAUCCAGAGAAAGCUAAAGUUUACUGCAGUGAGAUCCGUAAGUUGGAGUCAGCUGGUUAUGUGGCUAAGAUAAGUGCAAAGGAAGCGGCCCAAAGUACAGAGUCUUGGUUCAUUCCGCACCACAUGGUGCAACACAAUGGUAAAGACAGAAUUGUUUUCAACUGCUCCUUCCAACAUCAAGGACAGUCUUUGAAUGAUCAGCUGCUGCCAGGGCCAACUUUGGGACCAUCCUUACUAGGUGUCCUCCUGAGAUUCCGCCAGCACACUGUUGCUAUCAGUGGGGACAUCAAAGGUAUGUUCCACCAAGUCCGCUUGCUGCCUGGGGACAAAUCAAUACUGCGUUUCCUUUGGAGAGACAUGUACAGGGAAGCAGAACCUGAGAUAUAUGAGUGGCAAGUGCUUCCAUUUGGCACUACAUGCAGCCCCUGUUGUGCCAUCCAUGCCCUUCAACAACAUGUCCAGGGGCACAAAGAUGAUAUGGCUGACUUAGUUGAUAUUGUGGAACAUUCAUUCUAUGUCGACAACUGCCUUCACAGUGUACCAACGACAAGUGAGGCUAAAGAGAUAGUGGAUGGGCUGCGCCAGAUCCUUUCCGAAGGGGGCUUCGAGAUUAGACAGUGGGCAUGUAAUGUGCCAUCUGUAACCCAACACCUACCUCCAGAGGCCAGGUCUGCAAACAGUGAGCGCUGGUUAACACAAAGCAGCACGGAUCUUCAGGAACUCACUCUUGGUCUGCGGUGGGAUUGCAUCAAUGACACUCUGGGGUACAACUUGCGUUCUGUGGAGACUGCUGAACCUACCAUGAGGAAUAUAUAUAAAACUUUGGCGAGUCAGUAUGACCCUUUAGGGUUCAUUAUUCCGUUCACAACCAGGGCCAAAGUUAUUAUUCAAGACCUCUGGAAGCACAAUCUUGGUUGGGACGACCCCAUAGAGCCGUUACAUUUGAGAGAAAGUUGGCUCACCUGGGUAGGAGAGCUCCCAACACUUACCAAGCUGCAGUUUCCUCGAGCAUACACCACAGCCUCUGACAACCCCUUGGCCAUCCGAGAACUUCAUGUCUUUAGUGAUGCGUCGGAAAGGGCCUACGGUUCAGUGGCAUACCUACGCACCACAGAUGAUCAAGGACAGGUUAUUCUUACCUUUGUCUUGGCCAGGUCUAGAGUAGCACCUCGCAAAUGCCUGUCAAUACCUCGUUUGGAGCUGUGUGCUGCCCUUACCGGCGCCCAGUUGGGCAAAGUGAUCCAAACAGAGUUGACCAUACCUGUCCACAAAGUCACUUUCUGGUCUGACUCUACCACUGUGUUGUACUGGUUGACAUCUGAAUCAUGCCGCUACAAAGUGUUUGUAGGGACACGUGUGGCAGAGAUACAGACUUUAACAGAGAUGUCUGAAUGGAGGUAUGUGGAUUCAAGUCACAACCCAGCCGACCACAUCACACGAGGUCUAAGACUGACCGAAUUAACAGGCCCUCAUCAGUGGAGCUCAGGUCCAGCCUUCCUGAACCAGUCACCUGACCAAUGGCCGUCAAUGCCCAAAACUGAAGGAGAGCCUGACUGCAAUGAAUUAAAAAAAUCUGCCUUUAUUGGAGCUGCUUCAUUGCUUACACGUUCUCUUCCAGAUUCAAGCCAAUUCCACACAUGGCAAGAGCUCGUCCAGGCCACUGUUAGAUCCCUGCAUGGGGCGGCUACCACCGACACUGACCAUUCACCAGAGGCUUCUGAAUAUAUUGAAGCUGAAAAGCUACUUCUGGCACAGGCUCAAAUGGACUCCUUUCCUACUGAGGUUAGACAUUUAAAGGUCGGACACCCUGUUCCUCAAACCAGUCGCUUAGGCUCACUUGCCCCUGAAUAUGAUAAUGCAACUGGUCUCAUUAGAGUGGGCGGACGGCUACGGCGUGCUAGUGACCUCGACCCAGAAGCCAUACACCCAAUUGUAUUAGACCCUAGCCAUCCUAUCACCAAGCUGUUAAUUAAGGAGACCGAUCAACGACUCCUUCACCCUGGCUCAGAAAGGGUUCUGUCAGAACUGCGCCGCCAGUAUUGGAUACUUCGAGGCCGAGAAGCAGUUCGUAAACAUCAGCACAGCUGUCGAGACUGUCAGUUCUGGCGCGCCAAACCUCAAACCCCACGUCUGGCAGAUCUACCCCCCUGCAGAUUAAAUCUGUAUAAGCCACCUUUCUAUUCUACUGGCGUUGACUGCUUUGGCCCAGUCAAAAUUGGGCGCCGUCAAGAGAAAAGGUGGGGGAUUAUUUACAAAUGCUUAACGACACGUUGUGUGCACCUGGAUCUGUUGGAGCAUAUGGACAGUGACGCUUUUCUGCUCUCCCUGCGCCGCUUCAUAGCCCGACGCGGCAAGCCUAUGGAGCUGUUGUGCGACAAUGGCACCAACUUCAUUGGAGGUGAUCGGGAGUUACGGGAAUCCUUUGAAGCCAUGUCACCAAAGCUACAGGAACAGCUGGCGGAGCAGAAAAUUCGGUUUCGCCAUAACCCCCCAAAUGCUCCUCACUUUGGGGGAACCUGGGAGCGCGAGAUAAAAUCAGUUAAGGCAGCACUCCGUGUGGUCCUCAGAGAGCAGUCGGUGCCGGAACCAGUACUGCAGACCCUUAUGGUAGAAGUUGAAAGCAUCCUAAACUCCAAGCCACUUGGCUACGUAUCCUCUGAUAUUGCGGAUGUGGACCCUGUGACUCCAAAUCUACUACUUAUGGGUCGUCGAGAUGCCUCGCUACCUCAGGUCUUGUAUGACUCUAACAACCUACUUGGAAAACGAAGGUGGAGACAUAGCCAGGUGCUGGCUGAUUGUUUCUGGGCUGCCUUUAUUCGCCGAUACCUCCCAGACAUGCAGGGACGUCAAAAGUGGACGACCGAGGGCAGGGAACUGACAGUAGGGCAAGUAGUACUUGUUGCAGAUCCACAACUACCACGCUCACUCUGGCCUGUAGGAACCAUAACAGAGACCUUACCUGGGGCUGAUGGUAGAAUUCGUAUCGUCAGAGUCCAGGUUAAAGACAAAACUUACACUCGUCCGGUUGUGCGAUUAAUCCCUCUUCCUCAUCUUGAGGAUAAUGACACAAGCACCCCUGAUAGACUUUCUUAG
ensembl:lncRNA